AGUGAACGCUGGCGGUAGGCCUAACACAUGCAAGUCGAACGGCAGCACAGUAAGAGCUUGCUCUUACGGGUGGCGAGUGGCGGACGGGUGAGGAAUAAAUCGGAAUCUACUUUUUCGUGGGGGAUAACGUAGGGAAACUUACGCUAAUACCGCAUACGACCUACGGGUGAAAGCAGGGGAUCUUCGGACCUUGCGCGAUUGAAUGAGCCGAUGUCGGAUUAGCUAGUUGGCGGGGUAAAGGCCCACCAAGGCGACGAUCCGUAGCUGGUCUGAGAGGAUGAUAGGCCACACUGGAGCUGAGACACGGUCCAGACUCCUACGGGAGGCAGCAGUGGGGAAUAUUGGACAAUGGGCGCAAGCCUGAUCCAGCCAUACCGCGUGGGUGAAGAAGGCCUUCGGGUUGUAAAGCCCUUUUGUUGGGAAAGAAAAGCAGCAGGUUAAUACCCCGCUGUUCUGACGGUACCCAAAGAAUAAGCACCGGCUAACUUCGUG
rnacentral:rRNA from 1 species